rnacentral:rRNA from 1 species
AGGGUGUAAACGCUGCAGACUUGGUGUUGGAGGCCCCUUUUGGGGGCGAUUCAGUGCCGGAGAGAAGUUGUUAAGUCUGCUACUUGGGGAGGUACGUCCGCAAGGAUGAAACUUAAAGGAAAUUGGCGGGGGGAGGCACCACAACGGGUGGAGCGUGCGGUUUAAUUUGGAUUCAACACCGUAAACUACACCAGGGAAGGACUGUUACAUGAAAGACCGAGAUGAAGACUCUGCUAGGUUUUCUAGAGAGGUGGUGCAUGGCGUCAGUGACU